UACGUAGGGUGCGAUCGUUAAUCGGAAUUACUGGGCGUAAAGCGUGCGCAGGCGGUUCGUUGUGUCGGUGGUGAAAGCCCCGGGCUUAACCUGGGAAUGGCCAUGGAAACUGGCGAACUGGAGUGUGGCAGAGGGGGGUGGAAUUCCGCGUGUAGCAGUGAAAUGCGUAGAGAUGUGGAGGAAUACCGAUGGCGAAGGCAGCCCCCUGGGCCAAUACUGACGCUCAUGCACGAAAGCGUGGGGAGCAAACAGG
rnacentral:rRNA from 1 species